rnacentral:lncRNA from 1 species
GGGGAUGUGGGGCAAGAUGAAGACAGACCUGAGCUUCGGGGACAGGAGCAGUGGCCUAUCAUCUCUCCUUGGUGUCUCUGCUAUUGAAAACACUUGUCCUGAAGAUGGGGACCACCUGAAGAGAUGCCUAGGGAACAGACCCCCCUUAAAAUUUGACAAGGAUAUAUCCUGGGACCUAGGUCCAGCUGUAUUCGAGCUUGGAGAUUCAGACUCAGGCUCCCACGCUUGUGUGGCAAGUGCCAUAUCUGCUGAGCUCUUCUAUCUCUCUGAUUCUCUGGAGAUCUAAUGAAUCCAGCGCUGACCUGCACCCCGAAGUUGCUGGUCCAGCUGGCAGAGCUGUCGGAGGAAGCCACGAUUGGGGAAGAUCCAUCGGCGCUCCCUCACAGUGAUUAUGGCCUGCUGCAAGGACAGCUGCUGGUGGAGCAUGAGGUAAGCCAGGACCAGUGUGGCAGAUCGGCUCACGCCCACCACGCAGUGCACCAGCACCUUAGCUGAGGAAGACACUCAGAUGAAGGACUCCUCUCUACUAGCCAGCCCACCCAAGGUCCAUUCCCGAACCUGUGUUGGGUGGAUCAUGGGACCUGGGGCAAGUUCCUCAA